rnacentral:rRNA from 1 species
CAUACAAACAGUAGGAGCCUCGUCAGAGGUGACUGCGUACCUUUUGCAUAAUGGGUCAGCGACUUACAUUCUGUGGCGAGCUUAACCGAAUAGGGGAGGCGCAGCGAAAGCGAGUUCGAAAUGAGCGUCCAGUCGCAGGGUGUAGACCCGAAACCAGAUGAGCUAUCCAUGGCCAGGUUGAAGGUGUGGUAACACACACUGGAGGACCGAACCGACUAGUGUUGCAAAAUUAGCGGAUGAGCUGUGGAUAGGGGUGAAAGGCCAAACAAAUCUGGAGAUAGCUGGUUCUCCCCGAAAACUAUUGAGGUAGUGCCUCGUGUGUCGCUCCAGGGGGUAGAGCACUGUUUUGGCUAGGGGGACAUGGAGUCUUACCAAACCAAGGCAAACUCCGAAUACCUGGAAGCGUGAGCACGGGAGACAGAGCACCGGGUGCUAACGUCCGGACUCAAAAGGGAAACAACCCAGACCGCCGGCUAAGGUCCCCAAUAACAGCUAAGUGGAAAACGAAGUGGAAAGGCCGUGACAACCAGGAAGUUGGCUUAGAAGCAGCCAUCCUUCAAAGAAAGCGUAAUAGCUCACUGGUCGAGUCCUUCUGCGCGGAAGAUGUAACGGGGCUAAGCUGUUAACCGAAGCCGCGGAUGCACUGAUUAUUCAGUGCGUGGUAGGGGAGCGUUCUGUAAGUCUGCGAAGGCGGUUCGAGAGGACUGCUGGAGAUAUCAGAAGUGCGAAUGCUGACAUGAGUAACGUUAAAGCAGGUGAAAAGCCUGCUCGCCGUAAGCCCAAGGAUUCCUGCUCUACGUUCAUCGGAGCAGGGUGAGUCGGCUCCUAAGGUCAGGCCGAAAGGCGUAGCCGAUGGGAAUCAGGUUAAUAUUCCUGAACCUGCGUCAGAUGCGAUGGGGGGACGGAGCAUGAAAGAUCAUCCGGGUGUUGGAUGUCCCGGUUGACGAGCGUAGGAGGUCUGCAGGCAAAUCCGCAGACGCAUCUCCAAGGCGAAGUCACGUGCCGCCACGGCGGCGAAGUGAUCGGAAGUGCUUCCAAGAAAAGCCUCUAAGCACCAGUCUGGCGCGGACCGUACCGCAAACCGACACUGGUGGGCGAGCUGAAUAUGCUCAGGCGCUUGAGAGAACUCGGGAGAAGGAACUCGGCAAAUUGACACCGUAACUUCGGAAGAAGGUGUGCCGUAGUACCGUGAGAGGAGAGACACCUUGAGCGGGAAUCGGUCUCAGAGAAUAGGUGGCUGCGACUGUUUAUUAAAAACACAGCACUCUGCAAAGUCGAAAGACGACGUAUAGGGUGUGAUGCCUGCCCGGUGCUGGAAGAUUAAUUGAUGGGGUGAGAGCCCUUGAUCGAAGUCCCAGUAAACGGCGGCCGUAACUAUAACGGUCCUAAGGUAGCGAAAUUCCUUGUC